GCAAGCCACUUCGAGAUCAUCUACGUCUACAGAGUGCAUAAGAGACGACGGUAUAAUCUUAUUAACCAAGUUCAUUUUUACUAUGAAGUGUCAUGCUGUGAACACAGCCUGUGGAAUGCCAUUUUCCUGUGUAAAUGUAUGAGAAUGUAUUGAGCCAAGACGGACCUGAAAUAUUCAAUUAGGCAUAAAAUCAGCUAGGCAAUUCAGCAUUUUACUAUGGAGCCCGAGGUCAGACAGGUUUCUUAAAAUUCCGUAUCUCCACAUGGUGUCGUAAGCUUUUUCUAAAUCAAAGAAAACUGCACGACAGUGUUGCUUGUGUAAAAAUGCAUAUCGAAUUUCAUGUUCUAGACGGACAAGAUGGUCAGUAGUUGAACAACCCUUUUUAUAUCUUCACUGUUGGGGGUCUAUAAGAUUUCUUGAUUCUAAAAUAAAUGAGGGUCUUAAAGUAAUAAUGCUUUCAUAUGAUUUUACCAAACAGCUUUUGCGGGCAAUUGGUCUGUAGCUGUUUGCGGAUGUUGGGGAUUUGCCAGCUUUUAGAAGUGGAACUACUAUUGCCUUUUUCCAUUCUUCCGGCAUUAUACCAGAUUCCCAGAUUACGUUGAAAAAUUUUAGAUCACCUGCAGGUGCUUGAGAUAGAUGUGCCAGCAUGGCGCAGUGAAUAAUGACACGUGAACUCGUUUAUCCUUUACGGGUGAGUGCUUUUAACGUCUACGAAAUUUUAUUGCUCAGCGCAGGACGAGUCUACAUGUAUCAGAAGCUUGUAGAAUGUUAUCGACGCUUCUAUCUGCUGUCUGUUGUCGCCGAACCUUGUGUAAUCUGAUUGCAUGUAUGCGCGAUGCGAAUGGUGUAGAACUUUGUGGAAGGCACGCGGUUCCCAGCGGUUACUCCAGAACAUUCAACGACUGAUCUGUAAAAGCCGACGCGCUUGACCCGCUGAUCAGAUUUUGACGAUCACCGACUGUGUUCGCCGUUGUCGCCAUUCUUUAAGUGUAGCCUGUUUUUGUGGGCACAGGUUCGCCCAAUAAAAGUUACUUUAGCCUUUCACAGUAUUGCUACUGUGUUCUUCAUACGUUGCUCCACGUGACAAUACGAUCAUGACCUGCCGCCGUUUUUUUUUCUGUGGAAAGGACUCGGUUUAUUUCUUGUUGUGUCAGAGGGGAAUAGUACAGUUCAUUUGACGCGCCAGUAGUUGGCAGCUUCUCUUUUUCAGCAGACUGUUUGUACUUUAAAAAUUACUUUGAAUCACUGAACUGGGGACAACACAAAAGCGUUCGCCAAGUAUAUCUGCCUGUUCUUGUAAUGUUGUUUGUGUGCCUGGAGUUGUAAGUAACCGUAUUGUGCAAGACGAGUAAUCUCCCCGAAACUUUCCCACCUGUUUCCACAUUCCCUUAGAUGUGACUGAACUGUUUAUUGACGAUAUAUAUUUCUUCCACAAUAAUUUUUCCGCCUGCCGUCGAAUAAAUCGUGCUUUGGCUUUGGCCUGUUUAAAGCAUAGGAGUUGGCAUAGUUCGGGUAUCUUUGUAAGAUUCCCCAAGCCUUAUUUUGAUACUUUUUUGCUUCUGUGAACUCAGGAGUACACCAGGGAUAGAGUUUUUUUGCGCACAAGGCUAGAUGUUUGCGGUAAUGCCUUUUCUGCCGCUGAAAUUAAAACCACAGUGAACUUUUAAUUAAUUUCGUUUAUGCUUAGUUCACUUGAAAAUACUUCGAGUUUUGCGUGCUUCACAAAAAGCGGCCAGUCAGCAAGAUGUAUUUCCCUGUGAUGCAGUUUAAAAUUUGUGAUGGGUAGUGAUAAACCGAGUUUGAUGACAGCUGGUAGAUGAUCGUUGCCAUGUGAUGUGUUCAGGACUUCCCAUUUAAAAUCAGUAAAAACACAUGGUGAGCAAAAGGCUAAAUCCAGGCAACUAAAAUUUAGUGAAGUAGGCGAGAAAUAUGUUGGCGCACCUGAGUUUAAUGCUAUUCGAUAAAACGAAAUCUUCAAUAAGCUGCCCUCUUUGGUAAGUUUUAUCUCUGCUCCAAAGAGUGCAAUGAGCAUUAAAAUCUCCAACUGUAACAAACGGCUCCGGCAACUGGUCAAUUAAAUUUUCCAGGUCUUGAGCAGUGAAAUGGGUAAGGGGAGGAAUGUACAAUGAACAGAUGGCGACAUUCUUAAAUGAUAAAACGGUGACACCUACUGCCUUGCAUGGAGUAUGUAAUAUAACGUUCCGUGUAAUGAUGCCGCCUUGGACAACAACAGCGACACCUCCCGAUAGACAGCUGGAGUGCUCGCGGUCCUUUCGUAUGACAGUAAAACCUCUAAGAAAAUGUGUAUUUUUGGGGCCCAAGUUCAUUUCUUGAAGGCAGAAUGCUACUGUUGAUAACUUAUUUAUAAUGUCUUUGAUGUCACCUACAUUGUGAAUUAGGCCUUUGCAAUUCCAAUGAAUGAUAAAUGCCAUUUUAAUGGAAUUGAAAAAAUUUACUUAUGUGAGUGAGCUUACAAGUUGUAGGUGACAUGUAUUAAAAAGUUGAUUACUCUUAUUAAGUGCAGUAACUGUUCAGGUUACCUGUCCCUUUUUCGGCGCCUUCUACCUGUCCCUUUUUUGCCUUCUCCGAGGUGCGGGAUGAUCGAGAGCCAGACGCCAAGACAUGCGUCUCGUGCUGUGGAGUUAGGUUCAACUUUGGGCCCUGCGACACUGCGGUUUGCCGGCCCGUCUUCGAUAAUGAUGGAGCAGCACUGGCUGCAGCCACCAAGAGGGCGGUUGGAAUUUCUACACGAGUACUGAACGUGGACCCUGUAGACUCUUGAAACAGGUGUGGCACUGCCCUCUGCCGCGCCACAUUGGCAUAGCUUACUUGAGGCAAGCACCCUAGCUUUUUCCUGGCUUCAUAGAAUGAGGUCUUUUCCUUUACAGUGAUUGCGAUAAUUUCCUUUUCUCUUUUCCAGCAAGGGCAGCUCCGUGAGUAAGCUGGAUGAUCGCCCUUGCAAUUGACACAUUGUGCAGGAGCAUGCAGAUGUCAGUUGAAUGGUCAUUGGCACUACACUUCGCGCAUGUUUCUUUUCCUCUGCAUGACUGUGAUGCAUGUCAGAACCUCUGGCACUUGAAGCACUGCUUGGGGUUUGGUAUGUAUGGUCAGAUGUUGAUUUUCAGGUAUCCUGUGUCGAGUGAACUGGGCACAGUCCUAGAACUAAAUGCGAGUAUUACAUGCUUUGUGGGGAUCUGUUGGUCGUUUCGUCGAAGUGUUAUACUUUGUACCUUGGUUACGUUUUGCUCCUAGAAUCCUUCAAGGAGCUGUUCGUCACUGAGGUUCAGGAAAUCCUUUCUGCUUGUGUUGAGUGAGCAAUGUGGAGAGAUAGCGACAUUAACGGCCCCAAUACUAGUGAGUUCAGCUAUCUUUCCGACUUGGUCUUUCUUUUUCAGUUCAACGAGGAGAUCUCUGCUUGCCAUCUUGGAUGCUUUGUAGCCUGGUCCGAUCGUGUUUGAUAGGCGUUUUGAUACGAGGAAAGGCGAGUUUUGUGACGGUUGUGUUGCCUUCACUGUGAAGGACAUGGUAGUUUGGGAAAGUGUCUUGGUUCGGUUUCAAACGGAACUGAAAUGCUGCCUCGGUGCACCCUCUUUUUUGAGGGCGGUUUUGGAGGGGGGAAAGCAAUUGUCGUGGAAAAUUCGGCGGCGACGGUAGCCACCCAUAACCGAGCCCAACAAGGGGAAGUUACUAGGUUGGGAUAAUACCUGCAGACGCCAGCCAUGCAUCGCCGCUGUAACCUAAUAUACCCAAGACUGGAUAUAUUGCAGAUAUGGUCAACCCUUGCUGCCAGGAAAUUCAGAAGUAAGAAGUGGAGCGAAGACAGGACAGAUGAAAAGGCGAGACAGAAAGACGAAGAUUGGAGAGAAGGACAGGAAAAGCCGACUGCUGAUUUCCUCCAGGCCUUAAAGGUUGGAACACCUGGCAUCAGUGCAACCCCCAAGAUCCCUCUUUCCCCAGACAGGGCUAAGCCACGCACAGCUACACGUGGGAGGGUCCAACCUUCACAUGUUCGGGAGCACCACGCAGACGCAUCACUCCUUGCCAGCAGCACGGCACACAUCGCAGGGGACACUUUCCCACCAGACGCGCUACGGCACAGCGAUCACGUCAGAGGCGUCCCGCAUCAGACGCUGCACCUAGGAAUCGCGCUGUGAUCAGAAAGAGGAGCCGCAUCACCUAAACAUGAGGGUUCGAGUGACGCACGCUGGAAGUUGGAAGGGAAGAGAGCGAGAAAACUUAUUAAACGCAAGGGUAUUGGGGCAUUCUUGCACCGGUCCCCGCACGGCCCCAAUGUGCUCAAACAAGACGAAGGGGAGAAGCGGGCGAGUGGCGUGCUACCUGUCGGGGCAGCGUUGUACAUUGCGAAGAGGGGGUCUUCUGUGUUUGCCGCAAGAUGGCUCUGCGUGUUCGCCAAGCGCAGAAGAAAUGUAGCAGAAAUGUACUUUGCUACGCGUUUAACUGUGACUUCUGUAAUUUACAUGCUCAUAAUUACCGAUAUACACCUCAGUAUAACUUUCCACGGCACAUUUCUAAGGCAACACCGCAUUCACUAGAGGCGUAUUUGUCCCGCUUUGAAGCAUCGAACUCAUGGCUGAGUGGUAGCGUCUGUCUCACACUCCGGAGACCCUGGCUCGAUUCCCACCCAGCCCAUCUUGCAAGUUGUUUUUAUUUAUGAAUUGCCUUCCGGGAUUUUUUGCUCCCGGCAAACGCCGCCGACACCGACUUUUCUACGACACAAGCUCCUUAAUGCUGUCGCGUUAAAAUAAAUGCAUGCUUUUGACUGCCCCAAGGACUCAAGUUGCCACAGGCACGUCCGAAAUAGCUCUGAAGGCUUGCCAGUACACUUAUUAGGCGUGUCGGUGCUCGUACUGAGGAAUAGAUGCUGUGUCUUGUGUCAGUUGGCCGUUUCCAUUUCUGGUACGUUUCAUCGCAAUACAUCGCAUAUGCCCUAACGCUGUAUUGUGGCAAAGAUUAUUCUUGGGAACCGGCAUUAUGCAACAUGACGUGCUUUCCGCGCUUCGAAAUCAUUGGCGAGGAUUACAAAGGCAGAUUCGACGCCAUUGCUAACAGCGACAUAUUAUUUUAAUGACAAAUGCGGCACCGAAUAGCAGCCUACCCAGGUAGCACACAGUCUUCAAAACAUUGUAUUAAUGGAUUCAACGUCUAAAAGAAAUUUCUUUUGACAAAAACUUGACGCAUUAAAUACGUCGCAAGCAGAACGGCUUAAAAAUUUCUGACUCUCCCGUAAUCGAGAGCAGAUGUACGCAUGAAAUUGGAACCGGCAAAGCAAAUUGGUCGGAGAUGAUGCUAGCCACAAUCUUAAAAUGGUGUAGUGCAUGUUCACACGGCAGAUCCUGCUACACCACAUCGCAACACAACGCACCACGCCAUACUGUGCACUGGUCCAUAUGGACACUGCCCAGUUAGAAGAAAACCAGCUGAAGGUGGCAUGACAGGCAGUGAAAGAUGCCAGGGAGAUAGAGCACACUGCCCACCUAUAAGAAAAGCACCUGAACCUUCGUGGCACCAUCUCUCUAGUUGAUGCAAAACCCGUGCCACGCAACUCACGGACCGCUGGCAUUCAAAUAGCAAGGCAACCCUGUCUCAGUGCCAAAAGAUGUCAAUGAAGUGUAUGGUGCCCUGUAUCUGCCUUUUGAACGUUGUUAUUGCUGACAAAUAAAACUUCAGCGUACUAGAAGUUACAGCUUGAGUGAUAUUGUCAACAAAUAUCAGAAAGGACUAAAAAGCAAUAUUUUUUGUAACUUGUUUGGGCAGUAACUAGCGUAUGUAAUGCAGUCCUGUACAAGGAGUUGGGGGCAAGAGACUACAAUUUCUUAAGUUUUGACUGGUUGCCUGGAGGUUCUUGUUUGAGUGCUUGGAUAACGACCCUGGCGUUUGGCCUAAGGUCACUUUAAGGUCACUGACAAUGGAAGCUAAAAGCAUUGUAUGCUUAAAAUGAGUGGUCGUAUCUGUUCAAUUAUUUAGCGUACUGGGUUUUCGACAGUGCCGUUAUUGGCAAGAGAAUUCAUAUAUGAAGCGGCGCUGGUCAGUUCAAUUGCUGCCAGGGUGUCUACCAAGCUGACAUUUCCAAGUUCCCCGAGUUUUCGAGGUUUUUCCUGAGUGCCCUUGCAGAAUUCCCUGAGUGACACAGAACUUCAUUUUAUGUCAAGACGGGUUGACACCAUGUCGCCUGAUGCUGCCACUCUCUCGUAAGGAUGUUAAAAAAUAAAGAGAACCCAACUUAAUAAAGUUUGAAUAGUAAGACUAAUGUUUAUCUAAUUCAAAAAGAAAAUGGAAGGGUGGAGUUAGUAAAAUGCACAGCGAAUACCUAAAAAAAAAAUGGUAAGAACAAUUACAAAUCGAGUUGUCCAUCCUCAAAUACGUAUAAAAAGGAGAUGCAUACAGAAGCACAUAUUUUCUAAUAUGAGCAAUUUCUAUCAACUCAUAGCAAGUUCAUUGGUAUGAGGCCUGACCUUUGUCACAGGUGAGAUUCUCUCUCAACAGAUGCUCUCUCAACUUCAUACCGUGCACACUUGCAGCUUUAUAAAUGCUCAGUGAAUGCUCAUGAUGUCAGCGUAGUUAUCUGUCGAAGCCAAGCUCACCUGCACUGCCGGGCUGACGUGGGAAACAGCAUGCACUGUGGAAGUAGCUGAUAGUGCUAAUUAUUGUUUCGUCAUUCUUGUCGGCAGUCAGUAAUAUUUACUUGCAGAAGGCUUUUAUGUUCGCUUAGCGAAUCGGGAUGUACUACGGCAUGUAGUAAGGCUCAUUUUCCUGUGCGACAUCUUCUGGAGUCGAGUGGCAUGUCUUACUGUGUAACUGACACUUCAUACUGACACGUGCACUUGUUUAUCUUUUUUCGGGUGACCGCUUUUCACCGUCAAACAAAUGUUAUCGCUCCGCGCGUGACGCGCCCGCAUGGAUCGGAAGUUUCUCGAAUGUUAUAGAUCAUUCUAUCCGCUGUCUGUCGUCGCUGAACCUUGUAUAAUCUGAUUGCAUAUGUGCGCAACGCGAAUGGUGUAGAAGUUUCUGGAAGGUACGCGGGCACCAGCGAUUACUCUCGAAUGUUCGAUGGCUCGUGUAUAAAAGCGGACGCGCUUGAUCGACAGAUCAAAUUUUCGGCGAUCGUCCACUGUGUUCGCCGCUAUCGUUGUGCUUAAGGUUUGCCUGUUUUUGUGGGCACAGGUUCGGCCAAUAAAAGUUAGUUUCGUCAUUCACA